GACGAGGGAUCCUAGCGUUGUUCGGAAUCAUUGGGCGUAAAGCGUGUGUAGGUGGCUUUGUAAGUCAGGUGUGAAAUCCCCGAGCUCAACUUGGGAAGUGCAUUUGAUACUGCGAAGCUUGAGUAUGGAAGAGGGUAGUAGAAUUCCAGGUGUAGUGGUGAAAUACGUAGAUAUCUGGAGGAAUACCGGUGGCGAAGGCGGCUACCUGGUCCUAUACUGACACUGAAACACGAAAGCGUGGGGAUCAAACAGG
rnacentral:rRNA from 1 species